GUAUUCAUUAACAUAAAGUCUGAAAUUUAUUUAUUUAUAUGAUUUCAGAUAUUGAAAGAGGAUCUUAAAGAAUUAAGGAUUCCAGAUGAAUUUGUAGAUGAUCUUUUUAAUGUUAUUUAUGGUCCAAGAAGAAUAGCCAUUGAUGCAGGUAGAUUAAAGCAAGGACCAAGUUUACCCAUUUUAAAAUCUUUAAGAUGGAGAGUGGAUGUAACAAUUUCUAACAGUGUGCUAAACAGAGUUUUGGAGCCUUCAGUGUUAAUGGAACUCAUUUCAGAUAAUAAUGCUAAGUAUACUUUUGAAGUAAGAAAUAAUUUCACAUUUUUAACAGUUUAUAAAAAGACAUUUACAUCAUAAUUCUCUAAUAUUUUAUAAAAGAAUAUAUCAAAUGAGAAAGUAUAUUAUUUUGAACUAAGUGGA